AGGGAAUUUUCGGCAAUGGGGGAAACCCUGACCGAGCAACGCCGCGUGAAUGAAGAAGUAUUUCGGUAUGUAAAGUUCUUUUAUUGAGGAAGAAUGGGUUAGGUAGGAAAUGACCUAACCGUGACGGUACUCAAUGAAUAAGCCCCGGCUAACUAUGUGCCAGCAGCCGCGGUAAUACAUAGGGGGCAAGCGUUAUCCGGAAUUAUUGGGCGUAAAGGGUGCGUAGGCGGUCUGUUAAGUCUAAGGUGUAAGUUCAAGGCUCAACCUUGUGAUGCUUUAGAAACUGGCGGACUAGAGAUAGAUAGAGGCAAGUGGAAUUCCAUGUGUAGCGGUAAAAUGCGUAAAUAUAUGGAGGAACACCAGUGGCGAAGGCGGCUUGCUGGGUCUAUACUGACGCUGAGGCACGAAAGCGUGGGGAGCAAAC
rnacentral:rRNA from 1 species